GGGCCCAUAGCUCAGCUGGUAGAGCAGCCGGCUCAUAACCGGCCGGUCCCUGGUUCGAAACCGGGUGGGCCCACCA
rnacentral:tRNA from 1 species